GCAUACCGCGCAUGCGCCAAUUUUUUUCCAAGGAGGGACGCUUAAUUAAAGUGUUUUUGCCUUUGAGUUUUCCUGGGGACGAGACUUUGAGCCACUCACAGGCCAUUUCUGUUUGGUAUGAUGGGAAGAACAUAUAUUAGGAGCCAAUAAACGUGGCCCUGGCUUUGUGGCCAUAGAGGUGCUGACUUAAGCCUUGACUGCGGAGGCAUCCACUGCAGAGAAACAUCCUCUUCAGUGAUGGCUAUUUCAAAGAAACACAUUGCCAGCCACAGGACUAGAUAAAGACCCAGCCUUCCUUCUCUAAUACAAACUUUAAAUCUAUAAAAUGCCAAAAGGACCACUUCUCCGCAUCCCACAGGUUUUGUAUGUCAUGAGGAUGGGUCACCACGAAAAGAGAAAAGGCAUGUUGGAACAGCUAUAGGAAUAAACAGACUGCAUCAAAAACUGACACAGGAAUGAUCUGGUAAGUGAUGUAGCUAUAAGACAUAGUGUGAUUACUAGAAACUAUUACUGCAUAAAGACAGCAUACAGCACUGCUACUAAUAGUUGUCUGCAUAAAAUGAAAAGCCCCACUCUUUUGAAGCUUCUUUUAUGUAUAGUGCUUUAGGACAUUCUGACUUAGUUCUCAACCUGUUUAAAGUUAGAUCUCCUAGAGAGCUUUCUAUAAAUAACCUAUGCAUGAGCCUCACCUUCAGAUAUUCUGAUUUACUUGGUCUAGACAGGGGCCUUGGCACGUGUUUUUAAAAAUGCUCUACACCUGGCUGGCAUGUAGAGCAUGCAACUCUUGAUCUUGGGGUUGUAAAUUUGAGCCCCACGCUCGGUGUAGAGAUUACUUAAAAAAAAAAUCUUGAAAAACCAAAAAAUGCCCUAUAUAAUUCUCACGUGCUGCAAGAGCUCUUAAAAAGUCCUAAUACCCAGGCUCUACCCCAGAACAGGUAAAUUGGAGUCCUUGGAAGUGAAGCCCAGACACAAGUAUUUCUUUUAAAAGAUGCUCAGGUGAUUUCAAUAUAUACCCAAAGGUGAAAACCAAUGAUAGAGACUCCCUCCGUUGCUUGGAUUAAGGAUUAAGGGUGUCAACUGUUUUUUUUUUUUCUUUCUUCCAGAAUCAACUCAGUUCUCAAUUAUCACUGUAGUAGUCACAAGUAAAGAAGUCUAAGCUUUAUCCACUCUAAUAAUGGUGGCUUAUUCAUGGAAU